GAUGAAGAACGUAGCGAAAUGCGAUAAGUAGUGUGAAUUGCAGAAUUCAGUGAAUCAUCGAAUCUUUGAACGCACAUUGCGCCCCCUGGUAUUCCGGGGGGCAUGCCUGUCCGAGCGUCAUUGCUGCCCUCAAGCACGGCUUGUGUGUUGGGCCGUCGUCCCCCUCCUAGGGGACGGGCCCGAAAGGCAGCGGCGGCACCGCGUCCGGUCCUCGAGCGUAUGGGGCUUCGUCACCCGCUCCGUAGGCCCGGCCGGCGCUUGCCGACGACCAUCAAUCUCUUUCUCCAGGUUGACCUCGGAUCAGGUAGGGAUACCCGCUGAACUUAAGCAUAUCAAUAAGCGGAGGA
rnacentral:misc_RNA from 1 species